rnacentral:rRNA from 1 species
UACGUAGGUGACAAGCGUUGUCCGGAUUUACUGGGCGUAAAGAGCGCGCAGGCGGUCGAGCAAGUCGAGUGUGAAAGCCCCCGGCUCAACUGGGGAGGGUCAUUCGAUACUGAUCGACUCGAAGGCAGGAGAGGGUAGUGGAAUUCCCGGUGUAGUGGUGAAAUGCGUAGAUAUCGGGAGGAACACCAGUGGCGAAGGCGACUACCUGGCCUGUUCUUGACGCUGAGGCGCGAAAGCUAGGGGAGCAAACGGGG